AAAGUUCGCCGGGCGAUCGCCGGCAGCAUUUCGCUGCGGGAGGAACGUCCGGACUCCGCAGGGCGGCGUAGCAGGUAACACCUGUCCACCGCGAGGUGAGGAUCAGAGCAACAGAGACGAGUCCUGCCGUCGCGCGCGCAAGCCGCGGCGGGAGGGGUGAAACGGGCAAUCUCUACGCGGAGCAACACCAAAUAGGCAGCCGAUGACCUGGCCCGGGGAGGCUGCGGGUAGGUGGCUUGAGCCGGCGCGCGAGCGCCGGCCUAGAGAAAUGAUCGCCACGGCGCGUCCGGUUUCCGGAUGGGCCGCACAGAAUCCGGCGUACAGGCGAACUUUGCUU
rnacentral:RNase_P_RNA from 2 species